rnacentral:lncRNA from 1 species
AUGGUCAAUCAGAUGUUCAUGUGUGUGUGUGUGUUUGUGUGUGUUUUGAUGUUCUGUCUCCACAGGCUCAGCUAUUUGCUAAAAGAGAGCAUGAAAAUGUGGUGCAGGUGCUGGAGAGCACACUGGACUGCAUGCAGGCAAAAGUGCGCGAGCUGGAGGACAAAUGCCGCAGUCAGAGUCAGCAGUUCGGGAUGCUGUCGCAGGAGCUGGAUAAAUUCAGACUUCAGGCCUCGAAGAUCGACCUAUCAGAGGCCGCUUUACUGUGCGGCGCCACCCUGAGUCAGCUGACCAAUGGGGUUGGCCUACCCGGAGACACCGGUACGUUAAAACUAUCAUUACACACAGAUUACACAGACGGGUUGAGAAAUAAAAGUUUGAUGUAAGGUUUAUGAUAAGCCACUGUGAGUUUGGAAGUUUAACUGACGGCUCUGUGUGAUGCAUUUGCAUGUGAAGGGGAGUCAGAUUUUCAUACCACUUUCCGUCACCUCCUCUAGCCAGUGGCUCAAAUUUUGUCAACCCGCCAAUGCCAUUUUUUAGCUGCACAAUCAAAUUCAAAACCGCCCAAUCUGGCAACACUGAAUACGAGUUUCUUUGCAUUUGCUGGAUUUAUUAGGUGUGGGUCAAAUGUUAAUAUUUGUUUAUUAAUACAUUUUAAUAAAUGUCUUUAACGUUUAUUUAUUUAUUUU